rnacentral:lncRNA from 1 species
UCAUUAAACAUAGAUUUGCAAGGGAAGAAAGCAUAUGAGAAUCAUAUUAAAACAAUAGUGGUGAAGAAAUCCGAAAACUAGUUGGAAUAUCAUUAUGAAUUAAAAGAUGGGGAAACUUGAUAUAAGUUCAAUUUUUUGAGUCAAUAGUAGGAAUAAUCCAAUUUAUUAAAAUAAGUCCAAUUCCUUAAAUUUAAUUAUUUUAUUAUCAAUAAUUAUCUCUUCAAUGAAAAAAUUUAUUGUAAAAAUCAAAUUUCUUCCUAAUUAUCUCUUUGAUUAUUUCUUUUUAUUUUUUAUUUAUUUUUUGUUAUUUCUUGUUCUUCCUCUUGCUUUAUCCUAUUUAUAGAUUUUAUAUUAAUUUUUAUAAUCAACCUAUAUUACAGGUUAAUUGUAUUUAUCUACCUAUAUGACAGAUUUUUUUUCAUAGUCAACAUGUCACAGAUUAAUGUGUCUUGCUUGUAGGUAUAUUAUGUUUUUUCUACCUUUUAGUUAGGUUUCAUAUCUCACUUAUAGGUAUAAUAUACAUUCAUAAAUUUGCUACUUGAGUUAGGGUAGAAUGUUUUGCAGAUAGAUUUAUGUUAGUAUAUUAGUAUUUUUGUUAUAAGAUAUUAAUUAGAUAUUUUGGAGUUGGAAAAUGCAUAAUAUUAUAAGAUUUUAAUUGAUUAUUAAUAUUUUUAGAAAACAUUAAAUGAGUAUAAAAGAAAUAAAUACAUAUAAUUAGAUAACUGGAUUCUUUCCUAAAUACACUCUGUGAUUUUGGACCUGGAUCUAAAAGCCCCAUUAAA